rnacentral:ncRNA from 1 species
UUAGUCCUUGUCUUUGGGGAGCAGAACUAUUCAAUGAACGUUUAGUGAGGGUAGUUUUGCUAACACACCAAAUUAUUUUAUCGCAUUGAUAUUUUCCAAAAUAUUCUGUGCAAUUUUUGGCUAG